rnacentral:tRNA from 1 species
GCCCCAGUAGCUCAGGGGACAGAGCAGCGGGCUUCUAUCCCGUCGGUCGUGGGUUCGAAUCCUACCUGGGGCGCCA